AUGCACGCGCCGAUGUUGAUCCUCCUGCUGUCGUCGAUCGCCGCGGCGGACGCGGCCGGCAUCGGCGUCACCUACGGCAGGCGGGCGACGAGCCUCCCGCCGCCGGCCGACGUCGCGCGGUUCCUCGCCCGCGGCACCGUCCUCGACCGCGUCAGGCUCCUGAACGCCGACCCGCUCGCCCUGCGCGCCUUCGCCGGCAUGGGCCUCGCCGUGGACGUCACCGUCCCGAACGCCCUCGUGCCGCGCGUCGCCGACAGCGUCGCCUUCGCUCGGCAGUGGGUGCGCGACAGCGUCGCGCCCCACGCGGCGGCCGGGACCAACGUGUCGCGGAUCCUCGUGGGCCGCGACGUCAUCUCGCAGGCCAACCGCACGCUGCUGCUCUGCCUCGUGCCGGCCAUGCAGAACCUGCACGCGGCCCUGCUCGCCACGUCGCUGCACCGGCAGAUCAAGGUCUCCGCCGCGCACUCCCUCGGCGUCCUCGCCGUGUCCACGCCGCCGUCCGCCGCGCGGUUCCGUGAGGGGUACGACGCCGCCGUCGUCAAGCCGCUCCUCGCCUUCCUGCGCGCGACGGGCGCGCCCUUCAUGGUGAACGCGUACCCGUUCUACGGCCUCACCAGCGACGCGGGGCUCGACUUCGCGCUGUUCAGGGUGGGCGCCGAGGGCGUCACGGACGCCGGCACCGGGCUGGUGUACACCAACGCGCUGGACGCGCAGCUCGACGCCGUGCACUCGGCGAUGGAGCGGCUCGGCUUUGGUGACGUCGACGUCGUCGUGGCCGAGACCGGGUGGCCGUGGGCCGGGGAGGACUGGGAGGUCGGCGCGGGCGCGGACCACGCCGGGGACUACAACAGGAACGCCAUCCGCCACCUCGGGUCCGGCGUGGGCACGCCGCUCAUGCCCAACCGCACCUUCGAGGUCUCCAUCUUCUCCCUCUUCGACGAGAACCUGAAGCCCGGCCCGAUGUCCGAGCAUCACUUCGGCCUGUUCCACGCCGACAUGACGCCGAUCUACGACGCCGGGAUCCUCACCGCUCCGGAGUCCGUUGGGCCGGUGAGCUCCAAGGUAACACCGGCGGCGCCGGCGCCGGUGCCAGACGCAGGAGCGGCGGACUCGGGCGGUCGGCACUGGUGCGUGCCGACGCCGGCAGCGGACGCGGCGGUGCUGCAGGAGAACAUCGACUUCGUGUGCGGAGGGGGCAUGGACUGUGGUCCGAUACGGCCGGGCGGGCGCUGCUACGAGCCGGACACGGUCCAGGCCCACGCGGCGUACGCCAUGAACCUCUAUUUUCGGAGCAACGGGCAGCACGCGUUCGACUGCGACUUCGGUCGCACCGGCGUCGUCACCACCGUUGACCCAAGUUUUGGAAGUUGCAACUUUACAUAG
rnacentral:rRNA from 1 species